GGCAGCAGCUUGCUGCCUUUAAAAGGCAGCAAAACUGCUGCCUUAAAAAGGCAGCUGAAUUUUUAAAAAAAAAAAAAAAUUUUGAAGGCAAAACUGCUGCCUUUUAAAGGCAGCAGUUCGCUGCCUUAAAGGUAGCAUGCUGCUGCC
rnacentral:miRNA from 1 species